AAAUAUAAAAUCAAUAUCAAUAUAAAAUUGCUCUGAUUUAUUCACUAGCUCCAUUUAAAAAGAAAAAAAAAAUCUUUAUUGUUACCAGGGCCUCAAUUAUUUGGGUUAAACGAAAUCACUCGCUUUGGGCUGCACAGGUGUCUGUUGCAGUCAUAUGUUUAUUCAUAAGAAUCCUGCUGACAUAUCUACGAUACAAGGGGAACAUAUGGCAGCAGGUACUUCAAUUAGCGUUCAUCUUGGAAAUGAUUAAUACAGUGCCCUUUGUGAUUGGCAUUUUUUAUCAACCUCUCCAAAACCUCUUCAUCCCUGUGUUUCUGAACUGCUGGCUGGCAAAACGUGCUUUGGAAAACAUGGUU